rnacentral:rRNA from 1 species
GGCGGACGGGUGAGUAACGCGUGGGCAACCUGCCCCAUACCGGGGGAUAACAGCCGGAAACGGCUGCUAACACCGCAUAAGCGCUGGGGGCCGCAUGGCUCCCAGCGGAAAACUCCGGUGGUAUGGGAUGGGCCCGCGUCUGAUUAGGCAGUUGGCGGGGCAGCGGCCCACCAAACCGACGAUCAGUAGCCGGCCUGAGAGGGUGGACGGCCACAUUGGGACUGAGACACGGCCCAAACUCCUACGGGAGGCAGCAGUGGGGGAUAUUGCACAAUGGGGGAAACCCUGAUGCAGCGACGCCGCGUGAGUGAAGAAGCAUUUCGGUGUGUAAAGCUCUAUCAGCAGGGAAGAAGAAAUGACGGUACCUGACUAAGAAGCCCCGGCUAACUACGUGCCAGCAGCCGCGGUAAUACGUAGGGGGCAAGCGUUAUCCGGAUUUACUGGGUGUAAAGGGAGCGUAGACGGCAAUGCAAGUCCGAUGUGAAAACCCAGGGCUCAACCGUGGGAGUGCAUUGGAAACUGAAUGGCUGGAGUGCAGGAGAGGUAAGCGGAAUUCCUGGUGUAGCGGUGAAAUGCGUAGAUAUCAGGAGGAACACCAGUGGCGAAGGCGGCUUACUGGACUGUAACUGACGUUGAGGCUCGAAAGCGUGGGGAGCAAACAGGAUUAGAUACCCUGGUAGUCCACGCCGUANACGAUGAAUACUAGGUGUCGGGGGUUNACGGACGCCCGGUGCCGCAGCAAACGCAAUAAGUAUUCCACCUGGGGAGUACGUUCGCAAGAAUGAAACUCAAA